UGCUUACUGUGUGUCUAGUCCUGGGCUGUUUACUGAUGAUGUAGCUCAUUUUUAUCCUCACAAUAGCUAAGUGCUGUUGCUGUUAUGUAGUUGCAGUUGAGGAAACUGAGGCUUAGAGAAGAGAAGUUACUUGGCCACAGUCAUACAGGAGAAUCGGUGGAGUCCAGGUUGGGGUUCAAGUCUCUAUCACUCCACACCCCCUGUCCUGGCUGUUAGGUUCUGCCAGACCCUGGGGCUCAGAGAGAAGUGACUGAGGGAACAGGAGCCCUUGCUAAGUCAUGUGAGGGAGAGUGUGGUGGCAGAGUCCCAGCCAGCAAGGAGAAGUAGCCCUGAGACAUGCUGCUUUUGUUUUGUAACCUCUUCUGUGAAGCACCGGUGGACUGAAGUCAGAAUGGGAGCCCUCAGGAAUCUCCUUCCUGGGCCCUGGGCCUUGUGCACCCAGGGUGGAUGGGGGUGCUCCUCCUAGGGGAGCCGGUCCGCUGGGAGACCAGCCUGCAGCUGAUCAUGGAUGUCCUCCUCAGCAAUGGGAGCCCUGGGGCUGGCCUGGCAACACCCCCCUACCCCCACCUCCCCGUCCUAGCCAGCAACAUGGAUCUCCUGUGGAUGGCUGAAGCCAAGAUGCCCAGGUUUGGACAUGGCACCUUUCUGCUGUGCCUGGAAACCAUUUACCAGAAAGUGACGGGCAAGGAGCUGAGAUACGAGGGCCUGAUGGGCAAACCCAGCAUCCUCACUUACCAGUAUGCCGAGGACCUGAUCAGGCGACAGGCGGAGAGGCGGGGCUGGGCCGCCCCCAUCCGGAAGCUCUAUGCUGUGGGUGAUAACCCUAUGUCUGACGUAUACGGCGCCAACCUGUUCCACCAGUACCUGCAGAAGGCAACGCAUGAUGGGGCGCCAGAACUAGGGGCCGGGGGCCCACGGCAGCAACAGCCCUCAGCAAGCCAGAGCUGCAUCUCCAUCCUGGUGUGUACAGGCGUCUACAAUCCCAGGAACCCACAGUCCACGGAGCCUGUCCUUGGAGGAGGGGAGCCUCCAUUCCACGGGCACCGAGACUUAUGCUUCAGUCCAGGGCUCAUGGAGGCCUCCCACGUGGUGAAUGACGUGAAUGAGGCUGUGCAGCUGGUCUUCCGCAAGGAGGGCUGGGCUUUGGAGUGAGGGCAGUGCGGUGGAGGUGAGCGGGUGAGCCUGGACCUGUGGGCGAGUCCCAUUGGCUGGGCUCAGGUCAGGGCUUGGUUCCCUUGCCACCCUUCUUGCUGCCCCAUGAGUGUGGCAUUACUGGUCACUUGGAAGAAGACAGUGACUCUUUUUCCCUGCUGGGUAGCAUUUUGUAUGGAACGGUUGGAAUUUUCUGGGCCCAGUUCCCAUGUGCCUUUCCUGGCAGUCUAACCUCAGGCCAUUCUCUUCCCCUGUGUGCCUCAGUGUCCUUCUCAUUUCAGUAGGGACUUCUGAAAUGGGGGAGGCAGUGUGGAAUACUGUGGACGUCUGUGCAGAGCCUUUGCCGGCACUGAAGGCAUGCAGCCUGUCGGCAGAGUGUCUUAACACCAGAUGCUACUUUUUACUGUAUUGUAGUUUAUU
rnacentral:sRNA from 1 species